GACGAACGCUGGCGGCGUGCUUAACACAUGCAAGUCGAACGGAAAGGCCCUGCUUUUGUGGGGUGCUCGAGUGGCGAACGGGUGAGUAACACGUGAGUAACCUGCCCUUGACUUUGGGAUAACUUCAGGAAACUGGGUCUAAUACCGGAUAGGAGCUCCUGCUGCAUGGUGGGGGUUGGAAAGUUUCGGCGGUUGGGGAUGGACUCGCGGCUUAUCAGCUUGUUGGUGGGGUAGUGGCUUACCAAGGCUUUGACGGGUAGCCGGCCUGAGAGGGUGACCGGCCACAUUGGGACUGAGAUACGGCCCAGACUCCUACGGGAGGCAGCAGUGGGAAAUAUUGCACAAUGGGCGGAAGCCUGAUGCAGCAACGCCGCGUGCGGGAUGACGGCCUUCGGGUUGUAAACCGCUUUCGCCUGUGACGAAGCGUGAGUGACGGUAAUGGGUAAAGAAGCACCGGCUAACUACGUG
rnacentral:rRNA from 1 species